AUGGCCGGAAGGAAGGGCGGCGACAGGAAGAAGGCGGUGACACGCUCCGUCAAGGCCGGGCUCCAGUUCCCCGUCGGCCGCAUCGGGCGGUACCUCAAGAAGGGCCGAUACGCCCAGCGCGUCGGAUCCGGCGCCCCCGUCUACCUCGCCGCUGUCCUCGAGUACCUCGCCGCCGAGGUCCUGGAGCUCGCCGGCAACGCGGCCAAGGACAACAAGAAGACCCGCAUCAUCCCGCGCCACCUGCUGCUCGCCGUCCGCAACGACCAGGAGCUCGGCAAGCUGCUCGCCGGCGUCACCAUCGCCCACGGCGGCGUCAUCCCCAACAUCAACGCCGUGCUGCUCCCCAAGAAGUCCCCCGCCGCCGCCGAGAAGGAGGCCAAGUCGCCCAAGAAGAAGACCUCCACCAAGUCCCCCAAGAAGAAGACCGCCGCCACCAAGGAGUAA
rnacentral:rRNA from 1 species